rnacentral:rRNA from 1 species
CAGUCGCCGCGGUAAUACGGAGGGGGCUAGCGUUGUUCGGAAUUACUGGGCGUAAAGCGCACGUAGGCGGCUUGGUAAGUUAGAGGUGAAAGCCCGGAGCUCAACUCCGGAAUUGCCUUUAAGACUGCCGAGCUAGUAGGUGAGAGAGGUAAGUGGAAUUCCGAGUGUAGAGGUGAAAUUCGUAGAUAUUCGGAAGAACACCAGUGGCGAAGGCGGCUCACUGGACGCGUAUUGACGCUGAGGUGCGGAAGCGUGGGGAGCAAACAGGAUUAGAUACCCCCGUAGUCCCUGUCUCUUAUAC